AACUAUUGAGUAUCAAAUUAACUCACAUUAUAAUAUUUCACAAAAUUAUACUAUGAGGUUAAGAGAAGAAAAAACUUGGAACUUUGGAAAAUAUUAUUAUACUUUAUAUUUAUAUAUUUUUAUCAUUGGAGUAUAUAAGUCACAAACUUUACUAUUUUUCUUGGCCUUUUUUUUUGCCAUCUAAAGAAUUUAAUAACAUUAAUUCCUCUUCGUGCUGAUCUCUAGGUUCUUGAUCCAUUAGCCACAAAGUCAAGCUCUUCAGUUUUCUUUCCUGAAAAUUGAAGUAAGAAUAAGAUCAAUUUACGUGUAAUUCAUCGAUCGAUGUGUUCGACAAGAACAAUCAUCGACCACAUUGCAAAAAAAUGUAGAGUAGCGUUGUCUGCUGGCGACCAAAAGUACAUGCCGAGUUCGAAUCAAAUACACCGCACAAAUGUACAUUAGUAAUGUAAUAUUUCAUUUUCUUUUUUAAUGAUCAAAUCCAAUACACUGCAAAGACAUAAUAUUUAGUAGUAUACUUACCAUAUAGGGGGCUAGUAGCAGUGGUGGAUCCAUUAUACGUGGUCGUUUCGUCCUUGCAACAGAGGACACACCACACAGCAAAUUUACUGCAACAGCCUCUGUUACAGGCCUCGGCCAUUGGGGAUUUUCCUGUAUACGCAAAUAAACAAAACACAAAAUCACAUAACUUAUAAUUAUCACGAUAUAUUAUCAAUCAAAAUAUGUGUGAAAGUCAUAAAAUUUUGCGAGAUUUUGGAACUUGUUUCGCUUCUAUGAGCCACGAUCCUAUAUAUCGUAAAAUGUUGGCGAAUGUACGCGAUUCAAAAUCUAGUCUUUUAAGAGUCUGAAAAUUCAAAAUUAGUAUGAGGAGAGACAACUCAAGUUAUUGAAAUGUACAAGUAACGGAAUAAGAUCCAUAAUUAACCUCAAGUUUUAUGUACAUGGAUGUAUUUGUAAGAGAAUGAUAUAAGAUCCAUGAUCAACCUUCUCCCAACAACUCAAGUUAUUGGAAUGUAACGGUUUUUGACAAUAUUAAGCUAAGUGAAAUCUACGUACAUAUAUGUAGUAUGAAAAUGUUUCAACUCGAUAUUAUGUCAUAUUUUAUUAGGAAUUCCGAGUUUGAAAAUCGGAACAAAAAGUGGAAAUUUUGCCUGGGGAAAGGAGGAGCUUCCUUGUUGUGGUAGUAGACGACAUUUGGCGCAGUUGAUAGUUCUUCUGAUCAUCACCCAACGACUGAACCGAAACAGCAGCUGAAGCACAGAUAAUAAGAAGAAGAAGAACUAAAACGAAGGAAUUAACAGACUUGGAUGCCAUUUCUUUCAGUGAUUAACUUGCUAUAUAUAAUAACUUAAGUGGCCCACACAAGAUCUGAUGCAUGCAAGAAUUAAACACACAGUAGUGUGUAUUUUCUGCUAUAUAUGUGUAAUGUGGGC
rnacentral:lncRNA from 1 species